CGCGCAUCGCGCAAGCGCCGCCCGCGCACUGCCCGCUGGGCAUUGGAGUCUCUCCUCCGCCCUCCACUUGUCGGCCGUUCUUCGUCCAGAGAUGAACAUGCCGGAAGCGGCCGUUCCCAGCUUUUCUCCGCAGGCCUCUCCAACCGAGCUUCUAUUGUAAAGCACCCUAUGCCGCGCAAAGCGUCAUGGGAGCUGUAGUUCCGCCGCGCCCCCGCCGCGUCCCCGGCUCUGAGUGGAGGAGUGGAAAGGGAGCGUGCGCGAAGUCACGCUUCUGGCUGCGACGCAACCGCCGCUGGGCGGUGAGUUGCCGCCAACCGCCCUAACGGCCGAAACAAUGUUAAUGGCUUUCAGAGUCUGGCGGCGCGUUCCCAUUAUCAUCUUCCUGUGACCCUUCCUCAUUUUACACGGAGGAGGUGGUCUCCACAGUGAUUUUAAAUUUAAUAUUUCUCUCAUAACCUUUGUGAGAUAAAAGAAUCUUCAUCCUUUUAACUUUGACGAGGGAUGAAAUGAAGUUUUCCACAACAUUUGGGAAGAUUUACAAGGUAUACUCCAUUUAGGCAAAAAUAACUGUCAGGGAAUAGUCAUUGUCAAGAGCAGUUUGUAUUGCAACCCACAAAUUAUACCUCUAUGUCGGUCCAGAAAUCCUUCAAUUUACCAAGAGAUUAUGUUUGAAAAUCUUAGAAAAAAUAAACAAUCCUGAAAAACUAAGUAGUAGGACCAGCUUUACAGACCAGUGGGAGAUCCAGGCUACAGGGAGAACACAUGGAAUUCCAGAAUCAUGAACCAUCUGGAAGGGGCUGAGGACACAUAUGAAGUACAGUCUAAAGCUUCAGGAUCAAUUUUGGGAGCCAGAUGUUCUUCAUUUAACGGCAAAAGACCAGAGGAUCAAGGUAACUGAAAAAUACAGCACAGCCCAGAUCCAGAGAAUGAACUGGGAGCUCUUACUUAGAAAUAAGACUCAAUCUCUGAAAGUUCCACUAUACCUUCAAAGCUGUGCCAACCUAAAUCUACCUGAAGUUUCUGUUUCUUUAUUUGAUAUUCUAGGCAGAGUUAGAGCUAGAGAAAGAAAACUGUUUUCUGAGUUAGGUGGAUCAAACCAAUCUUUGGUUAACCAUUUAAGUCACUCAUUUCUUUGCACUUGGCUGUUUUAUUUCCCCUGUUUCCUACCAUAAUUUCCAUUUGAAAUGUUUAAAUUCUCUUUUGACUCUUUUUAGGAGAAAAGGUAUGUUUUCCAACUAUACUUCAGCCAUCAUGAGUUGGUGUCAGAGAUCAGCUAUAAUGGCAGUGAUAGCAAACUAGCUCAAGAACCUGGAGCUUUUGGGUAGGGAGAUAGAAUGAAAACCCAAAAGGAAACCUUCUUUCUUAGACUAUACCUACAUCAGAUUUUCUCAGUGCUUUUUGUCUCUCCCUAUAGUACCAGUUUAAUGUCAAAUAACUGCUCUUUCACUGAUUAACCAAAUGUAUCAAAAAUUUUUUUAAGAUUGUCACCAUGGUUCUUUUUUUUUUUUUGAGACGGAGUCUCGCUCUGUUGCCCAGACUGGAGUGCAGUGGCGCAAUCUUGGCUCACCGCAACCUCCGCAUCCCGAGUUCAAGCAAUCCUCCUGCCCCAGCCUUCCGAGUAGCUGGGACUACAGGUGCAUGCCACCACACCCGGCUAAUUUUUGUAUUUUUAGUAGAGACGGGGUUACACUAUGUUAGCCAGGCUGGUCUCAAACUGCUGACCUUGUGAUCCACCUGCCUCGGCCUCCCAAAUAGCUGGGACUACAGGCGCCCGCCACUACGCCCGGCUAAUUUUUUGUAUUUUUAGUAGAGACGGGGUUUCACCGUUUUAGCCGGGAUGGCCUCGAUCUCCUGACCUCGUGAUCCGCCCGCCUCGGCCUCCCAAAGUGCUGGGAUUACAGGCGUGAGCCACCGCGCCCGGCCUGGAGUCUCUAAUUUAUCUCUUCAAGGAACCUACCCAAAUUUCUUCUUUACUCCACAUUUCUUCAGCAUGUAUGUUUUUAAUCUGCUUCAGGCAUUUUAUUCUUCUUGAUAAUUUUCAUGUUUCUCAAAGGUGUUCUGUUCCAACAGAUUAACUAUACUAUUUUCAAGGGCAAAUAGUUAUCCUUUAUGACAUUUCUGUUUUCCUAACACCUAACAGAAAUGUGCUCUUCCAUGGAAUAGAUAUUUAAUACAUUAUUUAUUUGUAACAUUUUUAGUUAUUUUUUAAAAAAUAGAUGAUUUAUUUACAAGUCAGGAAAUCCUAGUAAAAAUGCUCCCAUCCUUGUCUUCAAUCUACUACUCAGUUUCUAAUGCUCCUCCUGUAGAUAACCACUGUUAGUUUUUUAUCCUCUGUUGUUAGUAUCCUUCCAGUGUUACUUAUGAAUAUAUAAGUAAAU
rnacentral:lncRNA from 1 species